AAUGAAUAGAUGAAUUAAUUAGUCUGUUUUUCUCUUCAUCUGAGAUCCAACAAACACUGGCAUACUAUGUGUAACAGAUGAAAUCAGAAUCAAAAACCAUAUCUGUUUUUUCCCAGAUAUUUACCUUACAUAUAUUACAUAAAUAUAUUUGGCCAAUUUGUGUUACUGUCAGCUCUGAGCAGUUGCCAGGCAACCAGCGGGGACUCCAGGAAGUUUUUGGUCCCAGCCAAGAAAUAAACUGGCACAUAUCCCCCUGGAAAGUGGUGCAAUGUCAUUUUUACACUUAAGUUUAUGUAUUGAUUUAACAGUUGUAGAGCUGUGGAGGUGGACAGAGUCAGGCUAACUGCUUCCAGUUUUUGUGCUACGCUAACCUGCUGCUAGCUGUAGCCUUAGCUGACAUAUUCUCAUCUAACUCUCUACAAGAAAGCAACUCAGCAAAUGACACUUUAUAGACUCUUUAAGUUUCUGUAAAAAAUUUCCCCAAUUACUGAAACUUUCCCCUGUAUUUACUCAGCAGCGGUGCAGAUUAUACCACUACUGCUAAAUUCCAGAUGAUAAUUUAUAUGAACUACUAAUCCACGGACGCGUAACAACAUAGUUUUGUGACAGAAAUUGUACUCCAGCAAUUUGAUUUAGUAAAAAACGGGUAGGGACAUCUGACGGUAAACUCAACAAACUUGCCGCUGUGUCCCGCCCUCAGCACCAUCUGACUGGCUAGACGUCACCAGUAAUAGCCUAUCACACUGAAGGCUGCUGUGUACACAGCCGGUCACAGACUAGAGCAGCUGCGGCUAAGGAGUGGACCCGCAUGUCGCAGAUUCCAGCCAACAAACAACUGCCGCACAUUAUCAACCCCAGUACCACUCCCACGGCCACUAUCACUGGCUGACUGGUGCCUACAGGAGGGACAACCCAGGACCUGGACCUGAGCUGAAGCUCUGCCAUGCCAGUUCAGUGGCUGUAGCCGAACAAACCGAGCCACCACAGAGGGAAACAAGCUGUUGAGAACCCUGAGGUGGCCAUCAGUAUAGGACUGAAACAC